AAGAAUUCCCUCCCACCCCCAGAUUUUCGCAGGGUUUUGUUGAUUUCCCCUCAACUUUCCACAGGUAUCCCACUUCUAAGAUGCCUGAUCUGAAGGACAGUAAAACAACUGACCUUUGCCAGCAUGUAAAACACAUGGUUUAACUAGUCCUCCAGGAACAACACUGAGCAAUCCUGACCUGGGACUACUUUACUCGGCCAUCUCCUACUUGAGAUGCUCCUUGUCUCUCUGUUCAAGGACACCUUUUCUGAGCCUUUCUUGAACAAGAGUGGAGGACCGAUAGGGCGAUUAAACUGUCCUUGACACAACUUUAGAGCUUCAACUGAGAAUCUAGAAGAGAGUAGAUGGAAAAAUAUUUUUCCCUCCCCUCCAAAUGCAAGGAUAAUCUUACACGAGUCCAGGAGGAAGGCUCAUUCCACACUAAGUGUUCUGAAUCAAAAAGAUGAACAAAAUACAGUGCCAUUCUUCAAGGACUUCACAGUCUACAGGAAAGGGAUAUAGUUAAACAAAUAACUGCAGAAUUGGAAAUUGGAGCUGAUGUGCUUAGAAGUGUUUUGAACAAGGGGCAUGACUGUGACUCUCUCU
ensembl:lncRNA LINC00861 long intergenic non-protein coding RNA 861